rnacentral:lncRNA from 1 species
AAAUAUGCAAAGAAUUCAUGAAAGAUAUCAAUAAGGAUCAAUUCGUGAAUACCAAAGAUAUGAUUCAUGGUUCAUUAAAAUUCUUCUUAACAAGUUCACGAUCAAGAUUCAUAUAAUUCAUAAUAAAGCAAAUUGAUGCACAAUCAUCACACAAGACAUACAAGGUAAAGAAAUCUUGUUAUUUCUAUAUUAUGAUAUCAAGGCUCAUGAUUCAUUUGAAAAGAUAUAGCACAAAGAGCAAAUUGAAACAUUCUUAUCAAGAUCACAUUUUACAAGAAAUUUCAAAUAUCAAAUAUCAAGUAAUCAUCAUGUUUCUUCAAAAUUCUU